rnacentral:rRNA from 1 species
GAUGAACGCUAGCGGCAGGCUUAAUACAUGCAAGUCGUGGGGCAACAUGAGUGUAGCAAUACAUUUGAUGGCGACCGGCAAACGGGUGCGGAACACGUACACAACCUUCCUUUAAGUGGGGAAUAGCCCAGAGAAAUUUGGAUUAAUACCCCGUAACAUAUAGAAGUGGCAUCACUUUUAUAUUAUAGCAGCAAUGCGCUUGAAGAUGGGUGUGCGGCUGAUUAGAUAGUUGGCGGGGUAACGGCCCACCAAGGCUUCGACGGGUAGCCGGCCUGAGGGGGUGACCGGCCACACUGGGACGGAGACACGGCCCAGACUCCUACGGGAGUCAGCAGUGGGGAAUAUUGGACAAUGGGCGAAAGCCUGAUCCAGCAACGCCGCGUGCAGGAAGAAGGCCUUCGGGUUGUAAACUGCUUUUGUACGGAACGAAACGGCCCUCUCUAAUACAGAGGGCUAAUGACGGUACCGUAAGAAUAAGCACCGGCUAACUACGUGCCAGCCGCCGCAGUAAGAC